CUCCCGAGUCCGGUCUCCGAGGUUUUUUCGGGACUUUUUUCCAAAGAUUUUAUCCGAUAUUUUUCCCAAGUCUUUUCCAAGACUUCCCCAAGAUUUUCCCAAGUUUUUUUCCGAGUUUUUCCAAAGUUUUUUUCCGAGUUUUUUCCCAGGUUUUUUCCCACGUUUUUUCCAAAGUUUUUUCCCAAGUUUUUUACAAAGUUUUUUCCGAAGUUUUUUCCCAAGUUUUUUCCCCAAGUUUUUUCCAGGUCUUUUCCCGAGUCGUUCCCUUUUCGGUUCGUG